rnacentral:rRNA from 1 species
UACGUAGGGACCGAGCGUUGUCCGGAAUCAUUGGGCGUAAAGAGCGUGUAGGCGGCUAUUUAAGUCCUGCGUGAAAUCCUGCGGCUCAACCGCAGACGGUCGUGGGAAACUGGAUGGCUAGAGUGCGGGAGAGGAGAGUGGAAUUCCCGGUGUAGCGGUGAAAUGCGCAGAUAUCGGGAAGAACACCCGUGGCGAAGGCAGCUCGCUGGGACGUUACUGACGCUGAGACGCGAAAGCGUGGGGAGCAAACAGG